UCAAGUGAAGAAGCGCAUACGGUGGAUGCCUUGGCAGUCAGAGGCGAUGAAAGACGUGGUAGCCUGCGAAAAGCUUCGGGGAGUCGGCAAACAGACUGUGAUCCGGAGAUGUCUGAAUGGGGGAACCCAGCCAUCAUAAGAUGGUUAUCUUGUACUGAAUACAUAGGUGCAAGAGGCGAACCAGGGGAACUGAAACAUCUAAGUACCCUGAGGAAAAGAAAUCAACCGAGAUUCCCUUAGUAGUGGCGAGCGAACGGGGACCAGCCCUUAAGUUGUAUUGAGAUUAGCGGAACGUUCUGGAAAGGACGGCCAUAGUGGGUGAUAGCCCUGUACGCGAAAAUCCCUUUGCAAUGAAAUCGAGUAGGACGGGGCACGAGAAACCUUGUCUGAAUAUGGGGGGACCAUCCUCCAAGGCUAAAUACUACUGACUGACCGAUAGUGAACCAGUACCGUGAGGGAAAGGCGAAAAGAACCGCGGAGAGCGGAGUGAAAUAGAUCCUGAAACCGUAUGCGUACAAGCAGUGGGAGCCCACUUGUUGGGUGACUGCGUACCUUUUGUAUAAUGGGUCAGCGACUUAUUUUCAGUGGCGAGCUUAACCGAAUAGGGGAGGCGUAGCGAAAGCGAGUCUUAAUAGGGCGUCUAGUCGCUGGGAAUAGACCCGAAACCGGGCGAUCUAUCCAUGGGCAGGUUGAAGGUUGGGUAACACUAACUGGAGGACCGAACCGACUACCGUUGAAAAGUUAGCGGAUGACCUGUGGAUCGGAGUGAAAGGCUAAUCAAGCUCGGAGAUAGCUGGUUCUCCUCGAAAGCUAUUUAGGUAGCGCCUCAUGUAUCACUGUAGGGGGUAGAGCACUGUUUCGGCUAGGGGGUCAUCCCGACUUACCAAACCGAUGCAAACUCCGAAUACCUACAAGUGCCGAGCAUGGGAGACACACGGCGGGUGCUAACGUCCGUCGUGAAAAGGGAAACAACCCAGACCGUCAGCUAAGGUCCCAAAGUCAUGGUUAAGUGGGAAACGAUGUGGGAAGGCUUAGACAGCUAGGAGGUUGGCUUAGAAGCAGCCACCCUUUAAAGAAAGCGUAAUAGCUCACUAGUCGAGUCGGCCUGCGCGGAAGAUGUAACGGGGCUCAAACCAUGCACCGAAGCUACGGGUAUCAUCUUUUGAUGAUGCGGUAGAGGAGCGUUCUGUAAGCCUGUGAAGGUGAGUUGAGAAGCUUGCUGGAGGUAUCAGAAGUGCGAAUGCUGACAUGAGUAACGACAAUGGGUGUGAAAAACACCGACGCCGAAAGACCAAGGUUUCCUGCGCAACGUUAAUCGACGCAGGGUUAGUCGGCCCCUAAGGCGAGGCUGAAAAGCGUAGUCGAUGGAAAACAGGUUAAUAUUCCUGUACUUCUGGUUAUUGCGAUGGAGGGACGGAGAAGGCUAGGCCAGCCUGGCGUUGGUUGUCCAGGUUUAAGGUGGUAGGCUGAGAUCUUAGGUAAAUCCGGGAUUUCAAGGCCGAGAGCUGAUGACGAGUGUUCUUUAGAACACGAAGUGGUUGAUGCCAUGCUUCCAAGAAAAGCUUCUAAGCUUCAGGUAACCAGGAACCGUACCCCAAACCGACACAGGUGGUUGGGUAGAGAAUACCAAGGCGCUUGAGAGAACUCGGGUGAAGGAACUAGGCAAAAUGGCACCGUAACUUCGGGAGAAGGUGCGCCGGUGAGGGUGAAGCAUUUACUGCGUAAGCCCACGCCGGUCGAAGAUACCAGGCCGCUGCGACUGUUUAUUAAAAACACAGCACUCUGCAAACACGAAAGUGGACGUAUAGGGUGUGACGCCUGCCCGGUGCCGGAAGGUUAAUUGAUGGGGUUAGCGCAAGCGAAGCUCUUGAUCGAAGCCCCGGUAAACGGCGGCCGUAACUAUAACGGUCCUAAGGUAGCGAAAUUCCUUGUCGGGUAAGUUCCGACCUGCACGAAUGGCGUAACGAUGGCGGCGCUGUCUCCACCCGAGACUCAGUGAAAUUGAAAUCGCUGUGAAGAUGCAGUGUAUCCGCGGCUAGACGGAAAGACCCCGUGAACCUUUACUAUAGCUUUGCACUGGACUUUGAAUUUGCUUGUGUAGGAUAGGUGGGAGGCUUUGAAGCGUGGACGCCAGUCUGCGUGGAGCCAACCUUGAAAUACCACCCUGGCAACUUUGAGGUUCUAACUCAGGUCCGUUAUCCGGAUCGAGGACAGUGUAUGGUGGGUAGUUUGACUGGGGCGGUCUCCUCCUAAAGAGUAACGGAGGAGUACGAAGGUGCGCUCAGACCGGUCGGAAAUCGGUCGUAGAGUAUAAAGGCAAAAGCGCGCUUGACUGCGAGACAGACACGUCGAGCAGGUACGAAAGUAGGUCUUAGUGAUCCGGUGGUUCUGUAUGGAAGGGCCAUCGCUCAACGGAUAAAAGGUACUCCGGGGAUAACAGGCUGAUACCGCCCAAGAGUUCAUAUCGACGGCGGUGUUUGGCACCUCGAUGUCGGCUCAUCACAUCCUGGGGCUGAAGCCGGUCCCAAGGGUAUGGCUGUUCGCCAUUUAAAGUGGUACGCGAGCUGGGUUUAGAACGUCGUGAGACAGUUCGGUCCCUAUCUGCCGUGGACGUUUGAGAUUUGAGAGGGGCUGCUCCUAGUACGAGAGGACCGGAGUGGACGAACCUCUGGUGUUCCGGUUGUCACGCCAGUGGCAUUGCCGGGUAGCUAUGUUCGGAAAAGAUAACCGCUGAAAGCAUCUAAGCGGGAAACUUGCCUCAAGAUGAGAUCUCACUGGAACCUUGAGUUCCCUAAAGGGCCGUCGAAGACUACGACGUUGAUAGGUUGGGUGUGUAAGCGCUGUGAGGCGUUGAGCUAACCAAUACUAAUUGCCCGUGAGGCUUGACCA
rnacentral:rRNA from 1 species